rnacentral:rRNA from 1 species
AACGAACGCUGGCGGCAUGCCUAACACAUGCAAGUCGAACGAGACCUUCGGGUCUAGUGGCGCACGGGUGCGUAACACGUGGGAAUUUGCCUCGGGGUAUGGAAUAACUCAGGGAAACUUGAGCUAAUACCAUAUAAUGUCUUCGGACCAAAGAUUUAUCGCCCUGAGAUAAGCCCGCGUAGGAUUAGCUAGUUGGUGGGGUAAAGGCUCACCAAGGCGACGAUCCUUAGCUGGUCUGAGAGGAUGAUCAGCCACACUGGGACUGAGACACGGCCCAGACUCCUACGGGAGGCAGCAGUGGGAAUAUUGGACAAUGGGCGAAAGCCUGAGUCCAGCAAUGCCGCGUGAGUGAUGAAGGCCUUCGGGUUGGUUAAAGGACUCUUUUUACCCGUACGAUGAUAAUGACAGU